CUACGGGGCGCUGCAGUGAGGAAUAUUGGUCAAUGGGCGCAAGCCUGAACCAGCCAUCCCGCGUGGAGGAAGACGGCCCUAUGGGUUGUAAACUCCUUUUAUAAGGGAAGAAUAUACGUAUCGUGAUAUGUUUUGACGGUACCUUAUGAAUAAGCAUCGGCUAACUCCGUGCCAGCAGCCGCGGUAAUACGGAGGAUGCAAGCGUUAUCCGGAUUCAUUGGGUUUAAAGGGUGCGCAGGCGGACCAAUAAGUCAGUGGUGAAAUCUUACGGCUCAACCGUGAAACUGCCAUUGAUACUGUUAGUCUUGAGUACGGCUGAGGUAGGCGGAAUGUGUAAUGUAGCGGUGAAAUGCUUAGAUAUUACACAGAACACCAAUUGCGUAGGCAGCUUACUAGACCGUAACUGACGCUGAGGCACGAAAGCGUGGGUAGCGAACAGGAUUAGAUACCCUUGUAGUC
rnacentral:rRNA from 1 species